UAUUUCCCCCUUAGUUCUCUUGCUCUCUCUCUCUCUCUCAGUUCGUAUUAUGCUGGGUCUAGGGUUCACUUCAUCAAUCUCUUUUCAUCGUCUUUGCGUCACCUGUAUAUAAUUCCUCUCUCUGGUUUCAAGCAAGGAAGACGGUUCUCUUGAUAUUUGUUCAUCCUUCAAUCUUAUUCUUAAACCAAAGUUCUACUCUGUAACAAGAAUUAACUGUGAUUAGGACAUGGCACGAAGACGCACACAACACAAUAGAGUCUCGUCUUGUCUGGUUGUACGGUUACUCUACUGCUACUUGACGAUCCUCAGCCCUCAGGUUCAUCCGCAUGUAGCUAGCUACUGGGAACAAGACUCUCAAAGUUUGGUAUCAAGAACCAGAAGCUAUCAUGGUUUCUGGAUGAGGGGGGUCAAAGUACAUCCCAAAGUGUUGAAGUACAGAGGUGGACAUACUCAGAGAUAAUGCAGUCUUAUGGUGUAUCUACUUGAACAACUUCGGCCUCCAGGCGUUGAGGUUACAGUGGUGUAUCUACGUAGCAGCAGAAUCGUUCAAGGUGUUCUCAGUUGCCAAAUCUGGAUUGAGGAUUGUUGGAUAGCACAUUACAUAAAGACGUAUUAGUUUCGUCUCUUUCGGUGAAAAGCGUGAAGGAGUGAGAUUAUGAUGGAAUCUCUUUUUGCUCUCUCACCAACAACAAAAAUUGUGGAAGCGUCAGGAAUUGCUGGUAAGCAUGUCAAUGUCGAUUCUCAGUUACGAGGAAGAACAACUCCUACUUUGGUAUCAGGAACGAGAAGCUUCAGUGGUUUCUGGAUUAGGUGAAGGUACAUCUCAAAGAGCUCAUUGCCAUUUAGACUCUCCCAUUACAAAGGUGACUAUAUUCAGAGAUAUUGCAGUUCUUAUGGUGGAAUACAUUGACGAAAACUAGCGUCAGGGCUUUGAGGUCGGGUCCCCAGUUCAAGCAAGGGAGAAGACUGUCAUGAUUUUAACGGAUUAUUAAUGCUAUUCUAAAACCAAAGAGCUACGGAACAGCACUUGAUAGCACAUCACACGAAGACGCACUAGUUUCAUCUCUUUUGUGGUGUAUAACGUAACAGACACAUGCUGCUGAAUACUUAAGGGUUUCCUCAAUCGCAUUAGUCAUUGGUUUAACUGGCCUCACUUUUAUUUACCAGAGCUGGAAAUAAGAAUUCAAGCACUAGUAAGCUCCCCUUUUUGUUACAACAUUGAAGACGUUGAAAUUGAAGUCUAUAACAAU